CUGAUAUGUAAUUCAAAAGUUACAUUUUGAAUGACAUUACGGCAAUUCAGCUACUGCAUGCUAUUAAUUAGUUGUAUGUUGUUACAUUAUUAUAACAUUAUUGUGACACUAUUCUGUUGUUAGGUUAUUUCCAUCAAGGAUUGCCAAGAACUAUAACAUCAGCUUUCUCUCUGAAACCACUUCUAAAGAAUAAAAAGUAUUUUUCCCCAAGCAUCUCUUUUCCUUUUGAAUUGGGAUGUCUCUGCCAAAAAGCUAUUUUUUUAUGAUGCCUAUUUUAGGAGAUUUCUGUAAAUAACUGGGUUUAGUCAACAUGUUUGGAAGAUUUUUCUUUCAAAUGAGAUUUCUGCACUGUUUUGAGAUUAUCAGUUUUUUCCUCUAAGAGAUUUUAGCUGGUAAUCUAACAUCUGGUCACACCUUCACCUUCAUCCAAGGUGAAAGUGUGACCUAUAUUAAGGUUUAAAACCUUAGGGUUCCUAAUAAUUAAAUUUAAUAUUAAGUUUUUGACACCUAUGAAGAGCAAAUGAACAUUGUACAACUGUACACUGUUCGCUCUCAUUCUGAGAUACAGAUAGUUGCAAGACCUUUUUUUAUUAGAAUAUUCAUUGAUUUAAUUUUAAGCAGAGCAACAAAUAUGAAUAAUUGUUGAGACUACAAAAGUGUUUACAGAGUCCAGGUGCACAGUGAUAAUUAUUUUACACUCAUAAUUAAAUGACUCAGAAGGUCUAAUAGUGUACAUCGCAAUCUCCUAUGCACUGCAUGGAGAGUCCAAGCAUGAGUUAAUUUCAGUCUGUUAUGACGUCAUAACAGUUGGAAUUUCUUUGACCAUGCCCUCCUCCUCUGUCCGAGCCUCAGUUUUUUUCAACUCAGUCUGAAUGAAAGACUUGUUUGAGUUGGUUCCUUAAAAUAAAUUAAAUAAAAAUUAGGAAAUUGGCUAUUUUUAACUUACUUUCAAAUUAAUGUAAUUAGAGCCUCUAAAUUGGAUUGGGAGUGGCGAAAACGGAGCGCAGAGAGUGAUUAGCGCUGCAGACCCUGCAAACAGCGUUUCGAUCACUGGGGCGGCUGCCAUUACCGCGUGGCACAGAUUCAUCCCUGGCCAUCUGGAAGGCAUCGUGGGCACUAGGGAAGUCAGAGGCUUCGGUUUCCCUGCAUUUUGAGAGCUGCUGGUGAGCAGCAGGCUGGAAGAAAGCGCGUUGAUCGUGGGGCCAGUAGCUGCCAUUUUGUGGGUGGCGGCCAUUUUGUAGCAGCACACAAUGCAGUAAUUUCUGGAAAAAUUGACCAGGUGGGCAGUAUUGGGAGCAAGGGUCCUUCUCCGGAGGCCUGACCAUCGCAGAAAAUUGUGGCCACGCAAGUAAAAACCAUUUAGUCGGUUUAUAAAGCGUUAUUUGAGUGAUUGAUUGCCACGUUGCUGGGAGCAAGUCCUGCUAACACCUGAUGUGUCUGGUCAUUGUUGCUGCUACUUGUAAUCAUAGCCUAACAAACCAUUUCGCUGGUUUGGGUGUGAUUUGAACUCUGAUCUGUGCAGUGAGUAAGUCUUUCAGCUUUUAUUCUCUUGGGGGUUCUAAAGCCUGUUUUCAGGGUUAGAUAUGACUAAUAGCAGUGAUUCUGAAGAUUCCCAAUAUCAGGCUGAUUGUCCUGUCCUUAAAAAGCCCAGAUUAAGAUCUAGCAAGGCUUCUGUUACCACUCAAGCCAAAUCUUCCAAAUCUUCAACUGUGGCUGCUGAGAAAGAUGCACCGGGGAGACAAAAGGCCUUAGAAAAGCAUUCUGCAACAAGCUGCAGCUUCUAAAUCCCAUGAAGAGUCUAAGGAUAUGGGUGAGACUUCUAAUCCUGUAUCUUCAGAACUGCAACUGCAAGAAGGAUCAGCCUAACUGGUCUUCCACUGUACCUAUGGGAUCACAUGGCUUUCAGGCAGUUCCCUUUCAGGAAGGUUUUAUACCUGACCCUCCUCAGCCCCCCUCUGAUUCUUCUCAGGUGCCUGGCAGGCAGCGUUGUGCACCAUCAGCCACGUUUACACCCACAUCAGCGGGCUUGUGCCCCCUAGAGAUGACUCAGCAAUCCUUAUCCUCAGACCUACGUUUUGCCAUUGUUCAGACCAUUACCCAAGGUAUUGAUGAGGCCCUUAAACAAAGGGGAAUUUUGGCUCCUUUACAUCCAGAGCCUUCCAAAUCAGAUCCUAUGCAUCAACAUUCACAUAGGCACAGAGAACAUAGGGAGGGGUCACAUCAUGCAUCUCCAUCACUUCAUAGCAAGGCUUUGCUGGAAGGAGAGGAAGAAUUAGGUGACUUUGAAAUGUCUGGGGAUGAAGGGCUUGCUCAGGACAAGCCUUAUUACUCUGAGUUAUUUCGUCCCCAUCUCUUCAAGACAUUGCUACUCAAAGCAAAAAUUACUGCUAAUAUGGGUCAGAUAGAAAGAUCCACCACUGAGGCUGGAGACUCUCAGGAUCUUUGUGCCAGUCUCUUUAUAGAGUGGGUUACUACACAGGAAGUUAUUCCCUCCCCAAAAUUCUUUAUAGAUGUAAUUCAGAGGCAAUGGGCUCAACCUCUUUCGAUCCCUGCACUUAGUGGCAUGGACAAAAAGAUGUAUACUGUGGAGAAGGAACUGGAGGAACUUCUUCAGAUUCCCACAGUUGAUCCUCCCUUGGCUAAUUUGGCUUCAUCUGCAAUUCUCCCUUCUGAUACUGCUGAAGGAUUGAAGACUGAGGAUAUGAAGACGGAUUUGGCUGCGUGCAAAACUCAUCAGUCAGUGGCUUGGGCAGUUAGGACCGCCACAGCAGCAUGUCUAGAACGUCUCUUUUAUGGCUAAAACAGAUGCAGGGCAGGAUUUCUCCAGAGGAUGUACGUCUACAACAGGACAUCAGCAAACUAAUAGCUGCAACUGAGUACAUGGCUGAUGCUACUAUUGCUGCGGCAAAGUUUGCCUUUAGAGCCCUAGCAUCUAAUGUUGCAUCCAGACGUUUAUUAUGGCUGCGCCAGUGGCAAGCAGACAUAAAGUCCAAGUGGCGCUUGGCUGCAGCACCCUUUAAGGGGAGCCAGCUGUUUGGAGAAGCACUAGAUCCCAUCCUAGUGGAGGGCAAGGAUAAGAGGAAGGUUCUUCCUCAGCAGACUAGGAGAACUGAUAGACGGUCUACCCCUUAUUACCGUAGGCAGUCCUUUCGAAUCCCGCCUCCCAGUAACAUGUAAUACUUCCCUGGGGGCGACAGAGCGCAAGAUAGAUUAGGAUUUCGAAACAGAUCUCGACAAUCGCAGUCAAGGCGGCCUUACAGGGGUUCAGGGGGAUGCCCCUACCACCGUUCCAAAUGACUCAUGGGCUCAAAUUCCGAUUGGCAGCAGAUUACAGAGGUUUGCCGACCAGUGGCGGGAUACCACCACGGACGCGUGGGGUCUUACAAACAAUUACCCUAAGUCUGACCUUAGAAUUUUGCUCCAGACCCCCUCUUCGAUUUCUUCAGUGCUCUGUUCCCAGAGAACCCAUCAAAAAGGCCAUGAUGGAGGCCGAGAUUCAACACUUGCUGGAUAUCUCGGCCAUCAAACUGGUACCAAUUGGACAAAGGGGUUUGGGGUUUUACUCCGUACUCUUUCUGGUUCCCAAGAGUUCGGGCGGCCAAAGAGCUAUAGUGAAUCUCAAAGACCUCAACGUUCACAUAAGUUACAAGAGAUUCAAAAUGCAAUCUCUUCAUUCAAUUCUGAGUUGCCUCCAUCAGGGAGAUUAUCUAACAUCAAUAGAUCUCAAGGAGGUAUACCUUCAUGUCCCCAUAAGGGAGUCUCGCAGGAGGUUUCUCAGAUUUGCAUUUGUAGGACACCACUGGCAAUAUCAGGCACUUCCCUUUGGCCUCUCCUCAGUCCCACGCACCUUCACCAAAUUGCUGGACGUGAUAGCAGCACGUCUCAGAGCACACCCUGUUUGUCUACAGUGUUAUCUGGACGAUGUGCUGAUUCAGUCAUUGUCGCUCAGGCAGGCGCAACUGGAUCUACAGCUCAUGAUUCAGGCACUUCAGGAUCACGGCUUUUCGGUAAAUUGGGAGAAAAGCCAUUUGACACCAUCCACCAGGCUUACUCAUCUGGGGGCAGUGAUAGACACGUAGUUAUCUCAAGUGUUUCUGUCUCCAGACCGACAGGAAAGCAUAAAAGACUUAGUUCAACAGGUGCAGGCAUCAGUUUCAGUGCCCUUACUGACUCCCAGCUGUUAGGGAAAAUGAUUUCCUGCUUAGUUAUAGUUCCCUGGGCUCGUCUGCACUCCAGGCCCCUGCAGUGGCUCCUUCUUCCCAGUCAGAGGUCAGGGCACAGCAACUCACUGUGCAGAAUCAGAGUUCCUCUACAGGUACGGCGAUCACUCGAUUGGUGGAAGUCGAAGGCCAUGGAAAGGGGCUGUCUGUUUCGAGAUCCUCCCAGAUUGAUCCUGACAUCGGAUGCGAGUCUCUUCGGCUGGGGAGCACACCUGGGGACCCAGGUGACUCAAGGAAGAUGGUCUCAGCGAGAGCUACGCAAUGAUAUCAAUUGGCUGGAGCUGAGAGCAGCCCAUCUGGCUCUCCGUCAUUUUCAAACCAAGUUGGCGAAUCAGCACGUUCUUCUGUUAACAGACAAUGUCACGGCCAAGGCACAUAUCAACCGCCAAGGAGGCACCUGCUCCAAACUCCUUAUGUGCAAGGCAAAGAAAUUGUGUCUCUGGGUGGAACGACAUCUUCUGUUCUUGCGGGCGGAACACAUUACCGGGGCAUCCAACUCCACAGCAGACUGGUUGAGUCGAAUGACAAUAGACCAGUCAGAAUGGCGUCUUCAUUUGGACUUGUUUCAUCGCAUCACAGUUCGAUUCGGGGUUCCGGUCUUGGACUUGUUUGCCACACCUCAGAACACUCACCUGCCUUGGUUCUUCACCCGAUUUUGGACUCCAACAGCAGAGGGGGUCGAUGCCCUUCGUUGUCCGUGAUCCCCCGACCUUCUAUAAGCCUUUCCUCCCAUUCCUCUUCUCCAGAGGGUGAUCCGGAAGAUUCUGGAGGAGGAGGCAGAGGUGCUGUUAGUGGCCCCGCAUUGGCCGAGGCGUCCCUGGUUCGCGGACCUGAUGUCACUGUCAAUAGCAUCUCCAUGGAUAUUGCCAUCGCACAAGGUCUUCCUCAGCCAAGGGGCCCUUCAACAUCCAGACCCCCAGUGGCUCAAAUUGGCUGCUUGGCGCUUGAGCGGGAGACUCUCAGGAAGGGACACUACUCACCAGAGGUGAUUUCUACCAUCCCUGCGUCUAGGAAACCGUCUACGACCAGGAUUUACAAUGCCACCUGGGAUUCCUUCAGUCGAUGGUGCGCCACAGUAGGUUUAGUUCCUACCUCCGCCACAGUCCCACAGGUGCUACAGUUCCUACAGCAGGGCCUGACGAAGAAAUUAUCGACCAAUACGCUCCAGCGCCAAGUUGCAGCAUUGGCUACCAUCUUACCAGGCGAAGGACCUAUUCCUCUCUCUCACCAUCCUAAGGUUCGUAGCUUUCUGAGGGGUGCGGCCAACUUAUUACCACCAACUGUACAUAGGUACCCGACCUGGGACCUAUCUUUGGUUUUACAGGCACUCACCUUGCCUCCUUUUGAAACACUACGGACUACCACGCUUAGACUGUUUACAUUUAAGGUUGUGUUCUUAGUUGUGAUCACGUCUGCACGCCAAAUAUCGGAGUUGGCUGCACUUUCAGUAAACCAGGAUUUAUGCAUUUUUCACUCGAACAGAGUUAUUCUUCGAUUUAUUCUACAUUUGUGCCAAAAAUAAAUUCCUGAUUCCACAGGGCACAGGAGGUUAUUCUGCCAGACUUUUGCCCCAAUCCACAACAUCCGAGGGAAAAGUGCUGACAUACGCUGGAUGUACGCCGUGCCUUAAAGAGGUACAUUAAGCGCACCGCAUCAUUUCGGAGGACGGAGGCUUUAUUCGUGUCCUUACAGCCCACCUCGAUGGGGAAGAAGGUAUCUCCAUCCACCAUUGGACGUUGGCUCAAGGCAUGCAUUGCCUUAGUGUAUGAACAACAAGCUCAUCCUGUACCAUGACGCAUCACAGCACACUCUACUCGCAAUGCGGCCACCACGGCAGCCUGGGCUACACAAGCAUCCAUUUUGGAAAUUUGUAGAGUGGCCACUUGGGCUACCCCUUCUGCGUUCGUGAGGAACUACAAGUUGGAUCAGUACGCUUCGGCUGAAGCAGCAUUUGGGAGGCGUGUUUUACAGAGAGUCCUGCCGGCCAAGGGGACCCUGGACCAACCUGCUUCACUCCCAACAUGACUUUGUCUUGGGUAUAUCCCAUGCUUGGACUCUCCAAGCAGUGCACAGGAGAUUGAAGGUUGGACUUACCUUGAAUGUUCCAUCUAUGUGCACUGCUAGAGAGUCCAAUCCCACCCUGACUUGUACUGGUCCGGGGUCCAAGAGUGGGCAGUUCUUCGGAUGUAUCGCAUCUUCCUUGGUUCCGGUUUCGUUGAAAAAACUGAGGCUCGGCUGGAGAAGGAGGGCAUGGCCAAAGAAAUUCCAACUCAGUGACGUCAUAACAGACUGAAAUUAACCCAUGCUUGGACUCUCUAGCAGUGCACAUAGAUGGAACGCUCAAAGGCUAUCUUGACAAGCUUCAUAAUGAAAUCAGCAGAACGCUGGAAAAGGUUAGCAGUAGAGAAAAGUAUAUUAACAAUCAGCUGGAACAUUUGGUUCAAGAAUAUCGUUCUGCACAGG